AACAAAUACAGCUGGAAGCAAUGUUACUACAUCAUCAACUCCUAAUAGUAACUCUACAUCUGGUUCUGCUACUAGCAACCCUUUUGGUUUAGGUGGCCUUGGGGGACUUGCAGGUCUGAGUAGCUUGGGUUUGAAUACUACCAACUUCUCUGAACUACAGAGUCAGAUGCAGCGACAACUUUUGUCUAACCCUGAAAUGAUGGUCCAGAUCAUGGAAAAUCCCUUUGUUCAGAGCAUGCUCUCAAAUCCUGACCUGAUGAGACAGUUAAUUAUGGCCAAUCCACAAAUGCAGCAGUUGAUACAGAGAAAUCCAGAAAUUAGUCAUAUGUUGAAUAAUCCAGAUAUAAUGAGACAAACGUUGGAACUUGCCAGGAAUCCAGCAAUGAUGCAGGAGAUGAUGAGGAACCAGGACCGAGCUUUGAGCAACCUAGAAAGCAUCCCAGGGGGAUAUAAUGCUUUAAGGCGCAUGUACACAGAUAUUCAGGAACCAAUGCUGAGUGCUGCACAAGAGCAGUUUGGUGGUAAUCCAUUUGCUUCCUUGGUGAGCAAUACAUCCUCUGGUGAAGGUAGUCAACCUUCCCGUACAGAAAAUAGAGAUCCACUACCCAAUCCAUGGGCUCCACAGACUUCCCAGAGUUCAUCAGCUUCCAGCGGCACUGCCAGCACUGUGGGUGGCACUACUGGUAGUACUGCCAGUGGCACUUCUGGGCAGAGUACUACUGCGCCAAAUUUGGUGCCUGGAGUAGGAGCUAGUAUGUUCAACACACCAGGAAUGCAGAGCUUGUUGCAACAAAUAACUGAAAACCCACAACUGAUGCAAAACAUGUUGUCUGCCCCCUACAUGAGAAGCAUGAUGCAGUCACUAAGCCAGAAUCCUGACCUUGCUGCACAGAUGAUGCUGAAUAAUCCCCUAUUUGCUGGAAAUCCUCAGCUUCAAGAACAAAUGAGACAACAGCUCCCAACUUUCCUCCAACAAAUGCAGAAUCCUGAUACACUAUCAGCAAUGUCAAACCCUAGAGCAAUGCAGGCCUUGUUACAGAUUCAGCAGGGUUUACAGACAUUAGCAACGGAAGCCCCGGGCCUCAUCCCAGGGUUUACUCCUGGCUUGGGGGCAUUAGGAAGCACUGGAGGCUCUUCGGGAACUAAUGGAUCUAACGCCACACCUAGUG
rnacentral:lncRNA from 1 species